AGUGAGUGCAGACAGAGAGGACAAGUUUGGAUGACAAAAUCAUGGAAUAAAUGUUUGGAGAUCACAGUCGUGAGACCAUCUCAUGUGUGGAGAAUAGAGCCUUCAUGGCGUCAGUCUCUCCUGGCCUGCACCACACUUGUGUGCAAUGUUCUAGAAUUCUGUGGCCUUGGAGGAUGUGGCUGUGAACUUCACCCAGGAGGAGUGGGCUUUGCUGGAUCCUUCCCAGAAGAAUCUCCACAGAGACGUGAUGCAGGAAGUCCUAGAAACCUGGCCUCUAUAGGAGACAAAUGGGAGGAUCAGAACACGAAUCCCCAGAAAGAUCAAAGGCAUAUCAUAUGUCACUCUGCACACAAGCCACAUGAGAUCCAGGAGUGUGGAGGGAAGCCAUGUGAACUUGAACAGAGCAGAACAUCUUCAAUAUCUCAUGCGAGUGUUCAAAGACAAGCGUCAGUGCACAGUGUAAAUGGACCUUAUGAAUGUGUGACAUGUGGAAAAGGGUUCAGUUGUUCCUCGUGUUUUCAAAAAUAUCCCCGAUCUCAUACUGGAGAGACAGCUCUCAGAGGUAAACAACAUGGCAAAGCCGUUGAUGUAUCCUGUCAUAGUAGAGAGAGGCCCUGUGAAUGUGAACAAUGUGGGAAAUCCUUCACUAGUUCCUCUUACCCUCAGGUACAUAAACGAACUCAUACUGGAGAGAAGCCUUAUAGGUGUAAACAGUGUGGGAAAGGCUUCACUCGUGACUCUUGCUUUUGUAGACAUGAACGAUUCCAAUUAGAGAAAAGCCUUAUAGAUGUAAACAGUGUUGUAAAGCGUUUGCUACAUCCAGUCAUCUUCAUAGACAUGAGCAAACUCAUACAGGAGAGAAGACCUAUGAAUGUAAACAGUGUGGGAAAUCCUUC